rnacentral:rRNA from 1 species
CACGUAGGGCGCGAGCGUUGUCCGGAAUUAUUGGGCGUAAAGAGCUCGUAGGCGGUUUGUCGCGUCUGCUGUGAAAUCCCGAGGCUCAACCUCGGGCCUGCAGUGGGUACGGGCAGGCUAGAGUUCGGUAGGGGAGAUCGGAAUUCCUGGUGUAGCGGUGAAAUGCGCAGAUAUCAGGAGGAACACCGGUGGCGAAGGCGGAUCUCUGGGCCGAUACUGACGCUGAGGAGCGAAAGCGUGGGGAGCGAACAGG